AACGAACGCUGGCGGCAGGCUUAACACAUGCAAGUCGAGCGCCCCGCAAGGGGAGCGGCAGACGGGUGAGUAACGCGUGGGAAACUACCCUUUGGUACGGAAUAACACAGAGAAAUUUGUGCUAAUACCGUAUGUGCCCUUCGGGGGAAAGAUUUAUCGCCAUAGGAUGUGCCCGCGUAGGAUUAGCUAGUUGGUGUGGUAAUGGCGCACCAAGGCGACGAUCCUUAGCUGGUCUGAGAGGAUGACCAGCCACACUGGGACUGAGACACGGCCCAGACUCCUACGGGAGGCAGCAGUGGGGAAUAUUGGACAAUGGGCGCAAGCCUGAUCCAGCCAUGCCGCGUGAGUGAUGAAGGCCUUAGGGUUGUAAAGCUCUUUCACCCACGACGAUAAUGACGGUAGUGGGAGAAGAAGCCCCGGCUAACUUCGUGCCAGCCGCCGCGGUAA
rnacentral:rRNA from 1 species